GUGACAAUGGAAGCACAAGAAAAGCCUCCUAAAUAUGAUCCAAACACUGAAGCUUUUCAAAUGCGAGCGCAGUGGAAGAAGGUGGACAUAUGUCGCAAGCAGUGGCACGACCAGUGGAGUUGGCUGUUGGCUGAACGGAAGAAAUGAUAAUAACAGAGAUUUGGUCAAAUCUCGGAGGAGUAAACAGGAGAAUUUGGGGGGCGAUAAAUCGAUCUAGCUAGGUUUCAAUUUUAAAAAAUGUAGUUAUAUCCGUGUUUUAAUGAGAAACAGCUACAAUAACAUUAGAAUAAAAAGGCGAGCUCUGCAAGAAUCGAACAGCAUUCGUGCAGAGGCAGCUGCAGCUCUACCCCACAUCGCGACUGCCAGAGAAGUAACGAAAACACUGAAGCCAGUGCCCGCUACGUCUACCGGCGUUAUUGGAUGGCUGGCCG